GAGGGAGAAGCUCCCCUUUUAUAGGGAGAGUGGCCGGAUUACCUGUGAUGUGACUGGGCGAAUUAAUGGGUUACCGUCACUGUCAGGGAGCUGUCACGAUUGAUCGGACCCGUUGGGGUGGUUGAACCGCCGGCCGUGGUGGGCCUGGGGUCCGUAGAUGACAAGUGCAUUGAUUGCUGAGUGAACCGGUGGUCAGAAAGAGCCGUACGCUUUGAUGGUUCAGUGAUCCGGAGAUCAUCUUGAGCCGUGUUCAUUUAAUGACUGAGUGC
rnacentral:lncRNA from 1 species